CGGCCGCGUCGACCUUAACCGAGGAAUUGCAUCGGAAACUGUUUUCUUGAGUGCAGAAGAGGAGAGUGGAACUCCAUGUGUAGCGGUGGAAUGCGUAGAUAUAUGGAAGAACACCAGUGGCGAAGGCGGCUCUCUGGUCUGCAACUGACGCUGAGGCUCGAAAGCAUGGGUAGCGAACAGGAUUAGAUACCCUGGUAGUCCAUGCCGUAAACGAUGAGUGCUAAGUGUUGGGAGGUUUCCGCCUCUCAGUGCUGCAGCUAACGCAUUAAGCACUCCGCCUGGGGAGUACGACCGCAAGGUUGAAACUCAAAGGAAUUGACGGGGGCCCGCACAAGCGGUGGAGCAUGUGGUUUAAUUCGAUGCAACGCGAAGAACCUUACCAGGACUUGACAUGUCGCGAAUCCAGUGGAAACACAGGAGUGC
rnacentral:rRNA from 1 species